AAUCAACGCUGGCGGCGUGCCUCAGACAUGCAAGUCGAACGAUUAAAGCUCUCUUCGGAGAGUGCAUAGAGUGGCGCACGGGUGAGUAACACGUAAGUAAUCUACCUUCGAGUGGGGAAUAACGUCCGGAAACGGACGCUAAUACCGCAUAAUGCAGCGGCAUCGCAAGAUGACAGUUGUUAAAGAUUUAUCGCUUGAAGAGGAGCUUGCGGCAGAUUAGCUAGUUGGUAAGGUAAUGGCUUACCAAGGCUACGAUCUGUAACCGGUCUAAGAGGACGGUCGGUCACACUGACACUGAAUAACGGGUCAGACUCCUACGGGAGGCAGCAGUCGGGAAUUUUGGGCAAUGGGCGAAAGCCUGACCCAGCAACGCCGCGUGAAGGAUGAAGUAUUUCGGUAUGUAAACUUCGAAAGAAUAGGGAAGAAUAAA
rnacentral:rRNA from 1 species